rnacentral:lncRNA from 1 species
CCCAAAGAAAAAAACAAAUGUUACCCAAUAGGCAAACAAUGCUGAGAGUUCACUUCCUCUAACUCUGUAGUUAAGUUACUCACUCAGUAUAACAUCACCCUCCUGCCAGGGGUUGAAGUCAGGAAGUAGUUUAUUUUCGCUGAAACUGAAGGGGGAAGUUAAAGAGAAAAAUAGCUGCAACUUGGUCAAUUCAGGAAAACCAGGUACGAAAAAAGAGGAGCAAGUUAAAGGGAAAGCCAGCUCGGAUUUGCUCACCAGUAAAAGGCAAAAAUCCCAGUGUUAUUCAUCUGCAUUUGGUGUGAAAGACAAAAGCUCAACUGGGAUCUGAGGCUUUCUGUGUCAGAGGGCAAGGAGUCAAUGGGGUUAUGAGGAAGUAAGACCACUUGAGACAUCAAAGAAAAGUAGAUCAAAUCACUAGACUCCUCCAAACAGGAGUGGGUGAAGACAAAAAGUGGAGAGAAUCCAGAGGGAAGAGAGGAGUAGGGAAAAUGGUGGAAAGGGAAGGUUUUUGAGAUGGAAGGCAGAGAAUGGGAACAAAAGAAGAAAAAGCUGUUUGUUUCAAAUCAAUAUUCUCCAAGAGGAUGUCUUGUUUCCCCAGGGAUAUUCUGAGGGACUCACAGGAUCAGAGCUGCGACACUUCUAACAUAUGAAUUCUCUCAAUUCUGAUGCCCUUUGACCUCUGCCACACAAUGCCAAGACAAACCCAGACCCCAGGCCCUGGAAACAGAGGAGGGGCAGGUUUUCUCAGAGUUAACUUUCUCUAACCUUGAAGCCGAAUCCAGGGGCAGGAGCAGGAGUCAACUCUGAGAAGACGUGAUAGAGCUUCAGCAACAUGGAGAGGAGAUAGCCGGUCUGGCUAGGAUGGAAGAAAUGUACAUGGAGAAGAAAGACAGAAGAACCAUCACUGAGCACUAAACUAAUCAGCCAUAAUGUGUAAGCCACUUUUAUGAAUUUUUUUCCUUCCUUCCUUCCCUCCUUCCUUCCUUUCUUCUUUCCCUCUUUCCUUUCUUCUUUCCUUCUUUGAUACAAAGUCUUGCUCUGUUGCCCAGUCUGGAGUACAAUGGUGUGAUCACAGCUCAUAGCUCACCGUAACCUUGAACUCCUAGGCUCAAGGGAUCAAUCCUCCAGCCUCAGCCUCCCAAGUAGCUAGGACUUAUAGGUACGUGCUACCACACCAGCUAAUUUUUUAUUUUUUGUGUAGACUGGAUCUCGCUAUGUUGCCCAGGCUAGUCUUAAACUCCUGGGCUCAAGCGAUCCUUCUGCUUCAGCCUCCUGAGUUGCUGAGGUUAUAGCUGUGAACCAUUGAGCCUGGCCCCUGAAUUUUCCAUUACUUUCUGUUGAGAGUACCCUCACUGAUAUGACAUUGUAUACAGGUUUGGUAGAAAUAUUUUCGGAGCAAUUUAUGUUAUCUCUGAUCACUUUUUACAGGCAGAUUGACUGGCAAGCCUAUCACCACCUUGAUAACAGAUGACAUUAAAGAGAAAGUAUCAAUGUGAGGAUUAAAUGGGAUGAAAAAUAAAACAUCUGUCGGAGUGCCUGGAAUAUGAGCCUAGUAGAGCACCCAGCACACAGUAGGCUCUUAAUACAUGCUUGGGAUGAUUGAGGCAUUUUCUUCCACCAUAUUCCAUGAUCUUCUAGCCCUGGGGGUGCAGAGAGAUUACCUGGCCAAGAAGACUAGGGGUAAAGUACUUUUCUUACCUGGUAAGUGGUUUGGGAGUUAGGAAAACAUGAUGUCUGGCCAACCCCUUUCCUAAAGGAGUUUAUGUAUCCCAAUGCCCCACCCACCACCCGCCUCCACCACACACCCAGCGUUUGUUGCUUGUAAUGGGUCAAUACAUCAAUGAAUUGAUGAAUUGUAAAGGAAAAAAAAUACAUGCUUGGAAAAUGAAUUUAACUAAACAAGAUUGAAUGUAGCCCAGCUCUUUACUCACAGAGCUUGAAGGCUCAACUCGCCACAACCCCCUGGGGAGAGAGGAAAGACAUGGCAUUAGUUCCAGCGCUGUUAGUGCUAGCUAUUGCAACAUCAGAAGUAUCAAAAUUCAACUGUCUGGUGCCAAUGGCAAAACCAAUGCUUACCAAAUACAUUAUAAUAAUAAAUAUAACUUUAUAGGUCUCACAGAUUUAUUUAUGUCUGCAACUCUAAACCUGCUCCCAGCCCCCAGUCUCCAGAAACCAAGCUAGCUGGCCUUUUGGAGAUGAAAAUAGCAUCAGGCAUCAAGGGUGUGCAUUUAUGAGCAGGACAGGAGGGUGGACUAGCACCUGAACCUUAAUGCAUUCCUUAAAAGUUUUCAAUGGGAGCAUGAGUCAGGGGUGCCACCUGGAGAGAACCGUUCUCAGUAAAAGAAGGACAAUGUUUACCUUCAACUACCCAAUUUUUUGCUUCCAGGAGAUGUAACACACAGAUUGCCUGUAACCAUGGCAAUCAGCUCAGCUGUGAGCACCCUCAUUUAUUCAAAGCACAGAGGCAGUAUAAGAGAGAAAAUACUAUUACAAAUAGGAACAAUAAGAUUUAAUGUCAGAUGCCAAAAUAUGAUUGGUUCAGUAUUUGAUUCCCAGCCAUAUGAAGCACAUUACACUUUCUUGGUUUCAUCUGCUCUUUCCUGAUCCUCAAGGGUAAUAUUAAUUUCAAUUUCUUCCAGAAACAAUGAUUGACUUGUUUCUAGCACUAUCUUGGGAGUGAAAUAAAAAUUUUGGAAAAAUACAUUCUCAGCAAUGCACUGUGUGCAACAGAGUUGAGAUAACCAUGCCAAAAACUAUAAGGAAAUGUCAACAUACACUUAAAAAAAUAACUUUUGAUGGAGUUUUUUUAGGGAGGUAUUCAACUUCUCGUGAAUAAGUAAUAAAGGAUGUAUACUAUAUACUGUAUUUACUGGUUCUUCUCCCUAAUUUCAGUCUCUUUACACUCCUGGAAGAAAAAAAGUAUUAUGGAGGCUACUUUACAAUCUUCUAAAAUAGAGUAACAGAAAACCUGUUCUUGAUUUUCAAGGAAAUUACUUAUAACUCAUCAAGUUACUAAACUUCAGUUAUUGCAAAAUUUAUUAACUGUAUCCUGAGAUUUCCACUGAUAAAACUCAACUAAUGUAUUUCACAGGUACACAAAUAUCCAAGAUUGGAAAGAAGAAAGAAAAUGACGACAGAAUUUUGCAGUCUACAAGGCAAACACUGCCAUUCAUGUAGUUAUGGAGUUCCUACUAUGUGCAGACAAUGGGAAACUUUACGAAGGGACACAGAGGUUCAUGUGAUGUAAUAAGAAAGAAAUAAAGGAAGCUUUAUCUGCCGCUCUUUCAACCUCAUCCACUCAACACUUACCCCGUGACAGACCCCAAUACUCUUAAUGAAUUCCCAAGGUUACGAAAGAACUUGGAAGAUCUUACAUUCCUACAUGGUGAUUACAGAGGCUCACAUUUUGCCAAGUCAUAUGCAGGUGGCUGAAAAGUAAGUUUACUUUAUCUGCAUUUCAUAUUACACUUGUUCUUUCUUAUGAAUGUUUCUUUCAUAGUCAUGCAAAGUACUCAAUCAGUAAUUCCCCACCAAAAUGGUUGUUACAUAAGCGGCCGUGCAACAAUGCAUAUGUCAGCUCAGAUUCAUGUCAGAGAAAGUUCUCUAGUUUAUAUAACUCACUCCCCAGCAGCCAGUACACAGUUCAAAAAGUGUGGGCCUUUACAUUAUGGCGGGAGGGAGGUUAUUUUGUUUUGUUUGUUUUUUUUUAACACAUCACAUAAAUACACUUCCUUUCUCCUUUGUAACGUAUGGGAUACAUGGAAUUCCUAACUCACACAGAUCUCACUGUAGACCCAAUGAAUGGCACGGAGCCGACACAAACACCCACACACUUGUCUCAGUUACAGAUCUCUGCUAAAGACCAGAAGUUGGCCAUUACUAUGAAUAUACACUUCUGUUGGAUUUCUAUGGUAUUUGGUUUCAUUAGAUUGUAUGUUAAGUUAAAUAUGUUUUUUAAAGUUUCAUUCUCCUACCUCAAGUUACGGUGCAUCAAGGGGUCUCAGAGAGAAGUGGAGCUGCCACCUCAAUGUCCCGACCCCAGAGAGGAGCCUCUCAAGCCACCCCAAGGCAGCUGAGCCCCAGCUCGCACCAGAUCACUGUGGAGCAGAACCAAUUUUUAAAUGUCUUCAUCUGGUCCCUCCUACUUUUAUGGUGCUCUGGGGGUGGUGAGAAUCGGGAUGCACUGAAAGCUGCUGGGACAUCUGACUCUUUAUUUUCUUGGCUCUACGUGUCUUAACUCUGCACCAAUCCUCCCGACUGUGCAGAAUUUCACUUUGGAGAGCAGAGGCAAACGGAGAUUCACACAGAGGGGCAGGAGCCGUCAAUGCUGUCUAGUGAGAGGAGAGAAGAGGCAUUGUAAGUCCCCAUAGCACUGCUGUUGGGCUACCCUGCCAGUCAAUGCCACUUUUCCCACAGGCUCCAGCCUCAACUUCCCCUGGUGCAAUAUGAUGAUGGGAAGAAGGGCUCCUAAGAGGAAACUGAUUUAAGUAUCUCUGUUUUUCAGAAAACACUUCCAAUUGCUCUCUCAAGAAUGCGUUUCUAUUUCAUGAGUUGAUGUCAUAUUUUUAGGGGGAGGGAUGUAUGGAGAGAGAAAACUUUCAAAUAUCUGGAAAUCAGUGGUAUGAUGAGCCCUGUUCUCUGCUGCUCCAAGUACAAUACCAAAGCAUGUGGUGGAAGUGAUGGGACAGAUUUGGUUCCAUAUUAGAACUUCCUACUUGUAUGUUGAAUUUUAACGGAUGGCUGGGAGUAACAUCCACUUUACGGAGGUAUAUAAGCAAGCUCCAGACAGUAACUUGGUAUGGAGACUAUGCCAAGGAUCCCAUUGUCAGAAGGGAAGUAUGGUGUUGGGGAAGGAUAUUUCUCCCUCCCCUCCCCAUAGUGCCAUCCUCUGCUUAUAGAGGAGGAAAUAGCUACCCAAGCUUUAGCCCCUCCCGCUGCCCUAUGGAAGGAAUACAUUCCACUCUGAACUAAAGCUGGCAUCUUUGGUGCCACAUUUUAACAGAGGGUCGAGUUACUGUAUCUUGAGAAAGACAUGGGUACGUCAUGCUUCCUUCCACUAUCUGUACCCACUCAAAGUGAAUCGUUCCCCACUGUUCUCUUUAAAUUUUUGCUUCAUGUAGCAGAGAUUCAGGGUCUCGCUCCCCUUCUCCUCCUGACACAAAAGGCAGUCAGACUGAACAGUGGGAUAAGCCCUGAAGAUGGCUGGGAACAGCCACCGGUGGAAAGGGAACCCUUCUUUGCUGCCUUUCUCAUUGCCCCAGCACUGCUAAGUGCAGCAGAUUGGCCUUUUUCACAUUGCAGGGAUGAGAUCCUCAGGAUUUGAGAGGGUUCAUCUGGCUUCCAGGAUUAAACUGUGUUUUCAAAUCGAUCUUUUGACAAAGCCCAACAAUAGAGUUAUUUCUGUUUACCCAUGCAUUUCUAUUAACCCAAGGUGGUGCCUCCUUUCCCACUCAGCUAUCAAUCUUUGUAUGUAUAAUCAAACCCCCAAAUAUAUCUCCAACCAAACUUUCACAACUACAGUGGCACACUCACACAGAGUGAUCUAAAUGGAACACGGGUUUUCUAUAACCACAACCAAACCAUAAACGGCAUUUUAUAUACAUUAUCAUCCAGAAAGCAAUCAGAUUUUUUCAUAGCAAAUGGUAAGAUAUAAUAAAAGGAAAUUUGAGAAUUAUCAUAUAACUUAUAAUGUCUCUUUUAGCCCUAAGGUCCUAAGAUUCAGUGACAUGUGGUGUUUUCUCUUUUUCCUACCACUUUUUCAGCUUAAUUAUUAUCUACAGAGAUUAAAAACACAACUAAAAUUUCUGCAGAUUCACAGUGCUAUUUCAGAAUAGAUUUUACCCCUUAGUACCUUCUAUUUAAUCAAUUAAUGAGAAUACUUUGGAGCCCACUGCAGAAACUAUAAAUUCCAAAUGGUUCCUCAGAACAUGUCAUCAUCAAACCAGUUAGGCUGGCGUUGGUAAAUACCACAGCCUGCAGUUGCCAUGUGUUACAAAAACAAUAAACAGAUACCCUUCAUACCUCUCCCUUCCCUAAAACAAUUAUUCCUAUAAAAGUCUGUCUCUCCAGAUUUUUUGUUGUGGUGUUUCUGAUACCAGUACAAUCAGAAAGUAAUGAAAGUGUUCACUGAAAGGAAGUUUUCACUGAGCAUUGCAGGCCAAUGAGAAUGCAGAUUAACUCAAAUAAACUUUGGAAUGCCAGCCAAACCCAUGAAACUUGUCAGCAGUUCAUCUACUGAGAGUGGUUAUGCUUUUUCAGUAGUACCUUAUCCUGAAAUAACCUGAUGGAAAAGCCAGUGUCGGAUGACACAUGACAUCAAGUGUUCAAUGCAAAUUCUGCUGGCAUACUAUCCUGUUUGACUCCCUUGCUCUUGAGCCUUCCACAGUUGGUAAUAAGGAACUGAGUACCUUUGCAAUCUCCAGUAAAACAUGUGUGAUGGAAAUGUAAUUCCUUAGGGAAGCAAUUCCCAAUGGCAUACAUAGAUUUGAUUUUUGGGUUGAAAAGUAGUAAAUGACGAAUUGAAGUUUCUUUUUCUCUACUUAAAAACUAUUCUUGACAUUAAUUUUACUUGUAUUUGUUAACCAGUUUACAUUUUAUUUUGUUACUGAGACACUCAAAAGUGUCUAUAUUUUAGUCAAAGCUAAAACUGAAAGACUUUAGCAAAUUGACUUUUCUCUUUCUCCCAACAAACAUUAACUCAGUAUUUUACCUAGCUUUAUUUUCAAAUAUGGAGUUUUAUAGCACCUUGAUUUAUAGCUGGGCGUAAGAAAAGGUUAUGUCAGCAUUUACAUUAUAAGGCCAUGGUUUUGUGGUUUAUAACUAAGCCAUAAAAAUAAUUCUGACUAAAAUUUGGAAUGCCAGUUUCCACCUUGAAACGCAAGUGUGUCCCUAGCUGUAUGACCACACACACACACACACACACACACACACACAUCAGAAUUCAACAACUGCUGUUUUGUAUAAUACAUUUAUUCAAUAUAUUGCUUUGAUUAAAAAUGAACUCAAAGAAAGUCAAGGCUAUGAAGUGAAUUCAAACAAAGCUGUCAUCUAAUGGUAACAACUUAUAUCCUAAGAUAUAUUUUAGUAGAUUUGAAAGUUGAUUUAAUGACAAAAGAAUUUACUGUAUAGUUUUCAUAGUUAAAGAAUAAAGGACAGAAAGAUGAAGUGAGACCUCCACACACAAAAAAAUAGCCUUUUCUUAAUAAGAAAUGUUUGCAACAUUCUUCCACGCUGUAUGGUAGAUAUUCUCUGAAUCUCUUUGCAGAUGUGAUCUAACGUCCUUGAACACAUUUAUUACAAUCCAUCAUCUACAUGGCAACAGUCAGGGCCAUGCUCAUAAACCAGAACUGGUGCUAGAUCUGGUAAGUCAUUAAGCAAACAUAUUCCUGUGUUGUGCGUGGCGUGCAUGCCCACUGCCUGCCUAUAAAACGGAAAUAAGAUUUCUGAUUUGCAAAUUACCUCCUAAGACAUGUAAAGCUAGCUCCUUUAAUCCACAUUACUCAUUUUUGUAUUUUGACUGUUUCAAAUGCUAAAACAGACCUGAAUACAGUUUCCACAGUUCUCUUUAUAAUUAUUGUAUUUUUCAUUUACAUGAUCAUGAAACCUGUUAGCAAGUGAGAAACAGAAUCAUUUUCACUGAGACAAAAAAUAUUGAGAAUUAGGGGGAGAAACUCUGAAGCAAUAUAAACAACAGAGUCUAAUCUUAUCAAAGAGAGAAGGCAGUUGGUGAAUCUGAAAGAUCACUUACUUACCACUCAAUCAUAGAACUUAUACCCCCAAAUAGGAUUUAAGAAAGAAAAAAGCAAUUUAGUAGGAACUGGAAGUUAUAGGGCAUAGGUCUGCUUUAGUUGGUGACAAAAAUUAUGCCUCAGAGGUUAAGAGCAUGGAUUAGGGUGCUGGGUUGCCUGGUUUAAAUCCUAGCUCUGGCACUUACUACUGCAUGGUCCUUGACCAGUUAUUUAACUACUCUGUGCCUCGGCUUCCCAGUGUGGAAAGCAGAAAAACAGUAUCUCCCUUACAGAGAGGCUUUAAAGUUUAAAUGCAUUAACAAAGGGAAAAUCCUUUCAAUGUUGACACAUCAUGAGUGUGACAUAAGUAUUACCUAUUAUUUUUAUUAUGUGACCAAAUGUGGAAGAAAAAUUCUAUAAGAAAGUAGUAACAUUGUUUAGUCUUUCAAAAAUCAUAUAUUCUCCUCCAAUCCUGGCUCUCUGCAAUUCAAGAAAUCCUAACAAAUAGAAAACCUUUGUACACAGGAGAAAACGGAGAUGAGCAAAGGCAAUAUUUGGCUUAUUUGUUAUAACCCUAAUAAAACAAGACUGCUUGAAGAAAUAGACCAAAUUGUGGAAUGUUUAACAUUGAUCCAGGACUGGCUCUUCUGAGGAAAAGAUAUAAUAUUUAUCAUGUGGCCAAUUUUGUCUGUGAAGAUAAGGAGGAACUAAUCGGUCUCAACUUCAUGAUGUUGCUUAAAGGAGCAUAUAAAUGUACGAUCAUAAGUAUCCUUUAAAUGAAGGGGUUGGUUUUAUGACUGCAGAAGUGAGAAAGAGUAAGGUCAUUUAGCCUGAGCAACACAGCAAAACCUUGUCUCUACUAAAAAUUAAACAAAACAACCAAAAAAUCACUCAGGUGUGGUGGCGCAUGCCUGUGGUCCCAACUACUCAGGAGGCUGAGGUGGGAGGAUUGCUUGAGCCUGAGAGGUGGAGGUUGCAGUGAGCCUUGAUUGCGCCACAGCACUCUAGCCUGGGUGACAGAGCAAGACUGUCAAAAAAGGAAAGAAAAGAAAGAAAAGAAAAAGAAAGAAACUAAAACAGAAAGAAAAGAAAGAAAGAAUGGGAGAGAGAGAGGAAGGAAGGAAGGAAGGAGAAAGAAGA